GUAGGGAAUAUUGGACAAUGGGCGAGAGCCUGAUCCAGCCAUGCCGCGUGCAGGAAGAAGGCCUUCUGGGUUGUAAACUGCUUUUGCCGGGGGAUAAAAUACCCAUGCGUGGGGAAUUGAAGGUACCCGGUGAAUAAGCCACGGCUAACUACGUGCCAGCAGCCGCGGUAAUACGUAGGUGGCGAGCGUUGUCCGGAUUUAUUGGGUUUAAAGGGUGCGUAGGCGGCCCCGUUAGUCAGCGGUGAAAUACGGCAGCUUAACUGUCGAGGUGCCGUUGAUACUGCGGGGCUUGAGUGCGGUCGAGGAGGGCGGAAUUGACGGUGUAGCGGUGAAAUGCUUAGAUAUCGUCAAGAACACCGAUAGCGAAGGCAGCCCUCCAGGCCGCAACUGACGCUGAGGCACGAAAGUGCGGGGAUCAAACAGGAUUAGAUACCCCAGUAGUCC
rnacentral:rRNA from 1 species